rnacentral:misc_RNA from 1 species
CGUCUACGUGGCGUGAGAUGGAUUGAUUCCGGUCUGUUUUGAUCAUUUAUAAACCCGGGGAAUCCUAUAACGGCGUACAACUUCGUGUAUAAAACAAUUGAGCGGACAAUUCAAUUGCAGUUCAACGUCGACGAUUGACGCGUAUUUUCGUAAAUUCAAGGGAACAUACUUCUGUCUAUUGUUUGUUUAACGAGUGUUCGAUACGUGGUUCGAUAUAUGUCACAUAACGCCGGGAGAAUUCAAGUAUAACAGUACGCACUCAGGUUUUCAAAGAAAUUCUUUCCAACAAUCAAAUGACAUGGCGCCUAUACCUGUCGAUCCAAGAUUUAAAUCAGACCGCAUUUUCAAUGAAAUAAAUAAACAAUUUGUCACAUUGAAACCUGGCGAAACAAAGGAAUACAAUGCCCAUUUACAAAGGGUCUUGUCGACGUUCAUUGAAAGAAUGAAAGAAAAGGAUCCACUAUUCAAUGCAUGUUAUCGGCGGAUUGUUUAUGUGGGCAGUUAUUAUGAAGGCCUUAAAGUAGGCAAGCCGGAAGAGUAUGAUUUAAAUGUUAUCAUAAAUCUACCAAUCGACUACAAGACUUUGAACAUUUUAAUAGCUUCCGAGAAGCCAGGAUAUGUGAAAAUUAAAGCAAUGUCAGAUGUUCUACCAAACUUAAGAAAACAACCUAGAUGGUCUGAGUAUAAGAGACCUUGUGCAGCUGUUUAUCAAAGGCAGAGAUAUAGAAAGUUAGUUAUGGAUAAGUGGUUUGACAAAUCAAUGUAUCUUGAUCAAAACCAAUUCCGUCAGUGGUUCGAAUCGGUUGCGAGUAGGGUGUUCCAAUCAUUUCCAACUCCAGCUAACAAUGAAUACAUUUUAUCAGUGGAUGGAAUAAAAUAUACACUGCGUCAAAAAAAAAGUGGCCCAGCACUAACGUUGAAAAUAAACAUACCGAACGGACACAACGUAGAUGUGGAUCUCGUUCCAGUCCUUGAAUUUCUGACCGCACCUCCUCGACCAUUCAGGAGUCACACUAAGAAGAAGAAUUGGUUCGCCGUAUCGAAACCAUUACAGAAUUGUUCCAAUAAUCAUAUACUGUGGAGACCAAGCUUCUACGAAAGAGAACAGGAACUGCUUAAAGGCAGUAUUAAACAAGUCAUCAGACAGAUGAAGAAAUUGAGGGAUACCCAAAACUUUAAAAGCAUCGCUAGUUACUUCAUAAAAACUUUGUUCCUUCGGGAAUUGGAGAACCAAGAUUAUAGUUCCGAUUUUCAAAGAUUACCAUCCACGUGGAUAUUUUACUAUAUGUUGAAAAAAUUUCAAGAAUCGACUGGAAAAGGUAUAAUAUACGAUUUUUGGAAUCCGACAAACAAUCUGUUGGUCAACAUUAGCCAGAAAGAAAUGUCAAACAUAAAUGACAGAUUGAAUAAAAUAAUCAAAGAUAUCGAUAAAAAAAUUCAGAGCAAUGAGUAUAUCAUUGCAGAAUACAUACUGAACAAAGACGAAUUGGCAAAGUUGAAAACGUCAAUGCUUUCUUCUGCGAUGACAGAAAUGAGAAUCGAAUCCGCAUCAGCAUCAACUUCUCAAAAUAAUGGUAUUUUAUCAAGUCUAUGGAACACCUAUUGGAAUAUUUCAGCCCCGAAUCCUGCAAUUCAAUAACGACGAUAGAGUGUGCAUUAAUGCAGCAGAUUUUUCUUGAUGCUUAUGCAUAGGUAUCACGUAGCACUUCGAAUAGCAGUCAACAAACCAAAUUGGAAGAUAAAUUGCUACCGAAAGCAAUGUUUUAUUAUUGUACUUUUUUAUAAGCAUAUUUGACGUACACAUGUACAGCACGAUAUUCGUCACUGUACAUAAAAGUGCGGAUGUUGCAUAAAUGUCAGCGGGAGUUUUAGAUAUUGUACAUUAUCGGGAAAAAAUUGUAAAUUAGGAAUUCAUGUGACAAUAUUAUGUUAAAAUCUCGUUAAUAUCGUAGGUUUAUAAAAGGUUUUUUAAAAAUAUUUUUAUUACAGUUAUACAAACUAUUUUAGUUAGAAAAUUUUAUCCAUAUAAAAACUAUUUGUUUAAAAUUUGUUUCAGCCUUUAUCCGAUCACAUAUUUUAUAAAUAUUUUAUAUUUAAUACGUGUUUCAGCUGUUAUGACUUUAUAGCUACUUUUAAUCAUUUUUAAUUAUAGGUAGGAUAUGUACAAUAUUUUUUUACCCCGUACACAUUGGUUUUAUUACAUAUAAGAUUUUUGUACAUGCAUGAAGUAAUAUACGCGAAAAUCAAUUGUAGAUUUUUUGUCUGGCAAACCCAAAUAUGACUUAGUUUUAAUUAAAAAUAUAUAUGAAUUUUAAAUAGGUAAAAUCUGAUAAAAAUUAGAGUAAUCGAUGGUAGAAGAUUGCAUAUCACAGAACAUUCAUUAUGAAGGAUAAAUCCAUUUUUGCAAUAACUUCAAAUUUCUCUUUCAACCCAACUUAAC